CUAGUUGUGCCGUGUGGGACACCACCUCCGCAUGGCCUAAUAAGUGAUGCCAUGUCUGUGCCCAGGAUCCGAACUGGCGAAACCCCGGGCUGCUGAAGCAGAGCACGCAAUCUUAACCACUCGGCCACAGGGCCUGCCGCAAGGUGACUUCUUGUAUAGUCACAUAAAACUGUUUUCUUUGGAGAGUACCACAAUUAAGAGCAUCUAUCACUUGACCCUGCUGCACCUCCCUGGAACCUAAAACUCUCAUACAUUACAAGUGGUUACCAGCUCCAGAUUCCCAGAUCCCAGCUCCAGGAAAGAAGACACUUACCGAUGCAUCCAUCAAAGGUAAAUUUGGCUUCCUUUAUUACUUUCAAAGCCAUUUUUUUUUAACAAGAAAGAAAUCUGACUAGGGACGCCAUCUGACAGUACUCUUUUUCUUGCAAGCCAGCAAAUAAAAUAAAGAAAAUAUGAGAAACAUUGCAUAAACCCCAAUGCUACAGUCUGUGCAUGGUGUGUACGUAAUAGAUGUUGAGUUAAGUUGGGCUGAAUGGAAACCUGAGCAGGCUGUGUGCACUGCGAAGUACUCUCACCUGGCUGGCAGAGUCACCUCCUUCUCCUUCACUGACUACACAGCUCUAAUGAUCUGGCCGUGGAAGGAACUUGGGAAACCCUUCAGUUUGUUGGAAACACAAGGGAUGCUGCUGAAAAUGGCUGAACCUGAGGAGACACCUGGUGGAGAAUGGAAGCAUUCUUCUCUCUGGAGAUGUAAACCAGGGGAGCUGCGGAUAAGAAUAUAAUCUGAUGUUUGAAAGAUGAAAGAAGUGACCACACUGAUUCAGAAUUGAUGUCUGUUCAAAGCCCCAACCACGUGGAGGAGAUGAUGCACUGAGAAUCAAGGAGGAAACAGCAACUAGUGACAGACUGUCCACUUUCUAUGAUACUCUUCCACUCCUAGUGACUAAAUCUAAAGGCAUGUCCACGUUAAGUUAAGCUUCAAAAUGAUGUUUUUCUGUUUUAAAAUUGCUCUUAAGAUCCUUUACAGGCAGAUGCACCAUUCAGGUUGCUCAAAUGUUUUGAUUGAAUUAAAAUAAAAACUUUUGGAAACAAAUUUGUUUACA
rnacentral:lncRNA from 1 species